UGACUCACACAGGUUUAACUGGCUAUUACAGUAAUUUUUCACAAAAAGCUGUCAAAAGAUCUGCAAGAAAAGGUAGUUGAGCUGUAUAAAUAAAAAAAACAAAUGUGUUCAAAGUCUUAGUGAUUCUGAUAAUACCAAGGCAUGGUCUGGUAGACCAACAGAGAUUUCUGCUUCAACUGCCAGGUUGGGUUACAAAGAAAAUCCCUCAAACGACUUCCACUGAAAUACUCGUACAGGCUUCACUGCAAGAACGUGGUGUGACUUUUUCAAGGUUGGAUCGCUGAUGGUUUUGGGUGGUGGAUCACUGAUGGUUUUGAGGUUAGAUCUCUGAUGUUUUCAGGGGUAGAUCUCUGAAGGUUUCUGAGGUGGAUCUCUGAUGGUUUUGGGGGUGGAUCUCUAAAGGUUUAAGUGGUGGAUUGCUGAUGUUUUGGGGUGGAUCUCUGAAGAUUUUGAGGGUAGAUCGCUGAUGUUUUGAGGUGGAUCUCUGAAGGUUUUGAGAGUAGAUUGCUGAUAUUUUGGGUUAAAAUUGUUGGCACAAUGAAUGCAGAGUGUUACCAGAAAAUAUUGGACCAUUUACAAAAGCUUGUGCAUGGGGUGUGCUUGAAUUUCCAACAUGAUGAUUUGAAAC